UGGGAUGAGGUAGGUACGCUCUGGCACCAGGAAGAAGGCAGUCAUAGGAUUCUCAAGUUGGAAAGACAGCGCCAGUUUUUAAAGCUCAACUGUGUCAGGAUAUAGCCAACAUCAAAUCAAAGGCACCCAUUUUUUCCUGUUUUAAGUGUACCUUUUCAUAAGGGUUUUAUUGGUACCGGGGACUGAACCCAGGGGCACUUAACCACUCAGCACAUCCCCAGCCCCCCCCCCCCCCCCCCCCACACACACACCCGUUAUUUAUUUGGACAGGAUCUCACUAAGUUGCUGAGGCUGACCUUGACCUUGGAGUCCUCCAGUCUCAGCCUCCCAGAGCCCCUGGGAUUACAGAUGUCACAACUGGAGACCCUUUAGUAGAGGGGCUGGGAAGGCCAAGGACACCCCCUUCUGGCUGAAGUCACAGGCCCCCUAGACGGCAGCUCCAGCCUCAGGCCAGCACCUUCUCCAGAUGGGACACCCCUUCUGGCAGAUCAGGACCUAGACAGAGUGUCUGGGUGCUCUCACCGGGUCCUCCAAAUCCAUUUCUGUUUGACUCAACUCGCUGGGUCCCCGGGGCCCAGUUCUCUACCCUGGAGACUGGAGAUGGGGCCAGCCCCUGCCCAGGCAUCAGUGGAACGUGCGCUCUGGGUGGGAGAGAGGAGGGCGAGGGUGAGGCCGGAGGAACGUGUGAGGCUGUGCGUGCGUGUGGAGCGGAGUUCCCUGCGCUCAGCCAGGUAUCUGGACUAAUGGUCCAUUUCCCCUGGUCCACGGGCCUCCGCCGGGCCCCCAGCUGCCCCGAUGGGCCAGGUCAGCCCCCACAACAGGAGCCCCCAGCCGCUCCCCAUUCGGCUUUCCUUGUAUUGUGCGCAGCCUGGUUCCUCGAGGAAAUGGGGCGGCUGCUGGGUGCGGGGGCGGCCGCCAGCAGCCCCACCCCCUUCCCCCCAUUGUCACUCCUGGCUGCGGCCCCUGGCCCCUGCUGUCCACUCUAAAAAUAGUCCUGUUCACAGGGAGCCAGCCCCACCCCUGAGCACUGGGCGUGGGGUUGGGGUUGCCAGGACAGAACUGCCCUGGGGACCAAGGUGUCCCCUCCAAGUGACCAGGGUCAAAGCGUGUGAGGGCCGUGUGACCAUAGGCCUCGAUAUUUUCCUCCUGGAGCUCAACUUCCUCAGCUGUGAAAUGGCGACAAGGCUACCUAGCUGCGGAGGGCUCUGUUCUUGUCCUGCUGGUGGUGGGUGCUGCCUGAGCACCCCAAGAACCAAGCAGAGGGUGUAACAUAACUUUACCUUCCUCCUAACUAGGGUGGGUGCCCAGGAUCUCUAGUUCCCUCGCAGGGGAGCUGGAGGGGCCCCUUUGCAGAUCUGCUGGGACAGGUACCUGUUCCCCAUCCUCAGAUCUGCAAGCUCUCCUGUGGAUUAUGAGGCCAGGUUGGGGCCCGAACCCAUGUCUCUGGCCUCUGAGGGCUGUGUUUUUUCCGCUUCAAGGGGCUGCCACCAUCUGAUGACUCCAAGGACUUCCUGGCUGGGGUAACCCUGCCUUUCAGUCCACAAACACAUGAUUCAUCACGAAGGAAGAUGCAGGGCAGUAGAUGUUGGGGGCUGGGCAGGGCCCCUGCAGCCUUUGCAGAUGACCAGCUGGUCUCAGAUGGCGGGAGGUCGUGGGGUUGGGCCUUGGGAAGGAGCUUGCCCUGGGACCUGUCUGUCUCCCAGCCUCUUUUUCUCUCUCUUCCUUUGUUCUUUUAAACUCUGACCCUAUUACACACGUGAAUUCUUUUUAUCAAAAUCUUGAACAUGUAGAAUUUCUUUUCUGUGGUCACAGUUGCAGUUUUACAUGUGUCCGGGUGAUUCUCUGUGUUCCCCACCAAUCGUGGGUUCUAGAGUGGAUGAAGACUAGCAUUUUUAUUAAUUCCUGUUUCCCCCCAACAAGGACUAACAAAUGUAUUUUCCCACACAAAUCUUAAGAACCUGCAAGUUUGUCUCUACCGCUUAUAUUUUGGGGGGGGGGGCUUGUGGGGACCCUUGUCAUAGAGAUUUGCUGUCAAUCUUGUUCAUGGGACUUUGGUUUUGCUACCUUAUUGCUUUGCACGUUCUUACAUGGGGACUUGGAAAGAUACAAAACCUGUUUUAUACCACAGCCCCUGCCGUGCUCCCCAGAACCUCAUGAAAAACGUCAGCACUCAGACGUCCAGUGAUGGUUCUCCUUGGAGCCCAGAGAUGACCUUGGUGCCAGUUUGGGGCUCCUUGAUGUAUUUCAUGUGUAUCUAGCAAACUCAGGACCCAGCCCUGUUCUUACACAAAGAACAGUUGGCCAUACACGCUGCUUUGCUUCUUGCUUUUUGUAUUGCGUUAACAGAGUGUGUGACUAUUUUCCAGAUUAAUGUACCUAGUACUUUCCCAUUUAAA
rnacentral:lncRNA from 1 species